rnacentral:rRNA from 1 species
CCUACGGGAGGCAGCAGUGGGGAAUAUUGCACAAUGGGGGGAACCCUGAAGCAGCAACGCCGCGUGGGGGAAGAAGUACUCCGGUAUGUAAAGCCCUUUUAGUAGGGAAGAAAAUGACGGUACCUGACCAAGAAGCCCCGUCUAACUACGUGCCACCUGCCGCGGUAAAACGUAGGGGGCAAACGUUAUCCGGAUUUACUGGGCGUAAAGGGAGCGUAUACGGCAGGGCAAGUCUGGAGUGAAAGCCCGUGGCCCAACCACGGGACUGCUUUGGAAACUGUGUUGCUGGAGUGCGGGAGGGGUAAGCGGAAUUCGUGGUGUAGCGGUGAAAUGCGUAGAUAUUAGGAAGAACACCGAUGGCGAAGGCGGCUUACUGGACUGUAACUGACGUUGAGGCUCGAAGGCGUGGGGAGCAAACAGGAUUAGAUACCCUUGUAGUC